GACGAACGCUGGCGGCGUGCCUAACACAUGCAAGUCGAGCGAAGCUUUUAAAGUGAAUUCUUUCGGGAUGAAACUUUAAAUGUCUUAGCGGCGGACGGGUGAGUAACGCGUGAGAAACCUGCCUUUCACGAAGGGAUAGCCUCGGGAAACUGGGAUUAAUACCUUAUGAUACUUCUUCUUCGCAUGAAGAGUAAGUCAAAGCGUAAAGCGGUGAAAGAUGGUCUCGCGUCCCAUUAGUUAGUUGGUGAGGUAACGGCUCACCAAGACUGCGAUGGGUAGCCGGCCUGAGAGGGUGAACGGCCACACUGGAACUGAGACACGGUCCAGACUCCUACGGGUGGCAG
rnacentral:rRNA from 1 species